GAUGAACGCUGGCGGCGUGCCUAAUACAUGCAGGUCGAGCGAACGGACGAGAAGCUUGCUUCUCUGAUGUUAGCGGCGGACGGGUGAGUAACACGUGGAUAACCUACCUAUAAGACUGGGAUAACUUCGGGAAACCGGAGCUAAUACCGGAUGAUAUUUUGAACCGCAUGGUUCAAAAGUGAAAGACGGUCUUGCUGUCACUUAUAGAUGGAUCCGCGCUGCAUUAGCUAGUUGGUAAGGUAACGGCUUACCAAGGCAACGAUGCAUAGCCGACCUGAGAGGGUGAUCGGCCACACUGGAACUGAGACACGGUCCAGACUACUACGGGAGGCAGCAGUAGGGAAUCUUCCGCAAUGGGCGAAAGCCUGACGGAGCAACGCCGCGUGAGAUAUGAAGGUCUUCGGAUCGUAAAACUCUGUUAUUAGGGAAGAACAUAUGUGUAAGUAACUGUGCACAUCUUGACGGUACCUAAUCAGAAAGCCACGGCUAACUACGUG
rnacentral:rRNA from 1 species